rnacentral:tRNA from 1 species
GGGCCUAUAGCUCAGCUGGUUAGAGCGCACGCCUGAUAAGCGUGAGGUCGGAGGUUCAACUCUUCCCAGGCCCACCA